rnacentral:tRNA from 1 species
ACUGGGGACAUAUCUCAGUGGCAGAGCACUUGCCUAGCGUGCAAGGCCCUGGGUUCAAUCCUCAACCCUGGGG